AUACGGAGGAUGCGAGCGUUAUCCGGAUUUAUUGGGUUUAAAGGGAGCGUAGGUGGGAUAUUAAGUCAGCUGUGAAAGUUUGGGGCUCAACCUUAAAAUUGCAGUUGAUACUGGUUUCCUUGAGUACGGUACAGGUGGGCGGAAUUCGUGGUGUAGCGGUGAAAUGCUUAGAUAUCACGAAGAACUCCGAUCGCGAAGGCAGCUCACCGGGCCGGAACUGACACUGAUGCUCGAAAGUGCGGGUAUCAAACAGGAUUAGAUACCCUGGUAGUCCGCACAGUAAACGAUGAAUACUCGCUGUUUGCGAUACACUGUAAGCGGCCAAGCGAAAGCGUUAAGUAAUCCACCUGGGGAGUACGCCGGCAACGGUGAAACUCAAAUGAAUUGACGGGG
rnacentral:rRNA from 1 species